CCCUCUUCGAAAUCUAUCAACUGCUCAAACCCACAUACACAAACAGGAACACGCUGGGGAGGAGAGUCCCAGAAGGCAGAAGAUCCUAUAGUCCUCAUCCCACAUGCCUUGCCCCAGGUCACGCGCACACUCCUCCGUCUCUCCCCAUUGCCAGGGUCCCGCUCAAGGCAAAGAGCAUCCCAGCGGAAGUCUCGGUGUCUAUCAGGCACAGACCAAGUCCCGUUGCUCCCUCAGCCGCUGAAAGUGCCGCUUCACUCGCGUGCCCAAACUUGACCCCCACAGGGGCAGGGGCAUCCAGCUAGGGCCCACAAUGAGCGCAGCUGCCCAGGGAGGCGUGGCCCCCAUCACCUGCCCAGGCCAGCGGGAGCAGGCCCGGAAGUCCCCAGGUCCCCAGCCAGCUAUCUGGGACCUAACUUAAGCGAGCACAGGAGUCCCCUGUUCUUUGUUCGCCGCCCCUCCUCGUUUCUGCUCUCAAACCUUGCUCCCAGCAGCCCCCGCCAGCGCACCCAACCUACAGGAAAGUUGCUCCGGAGCGGUGGAGGGGCGUCAUCGCCUCCUAGCAACGCUCCUAGCAACCGGGUAACAUCUGCUCCCUCUGGUCCAAUGCGAGCCGAGAGCAGCUGCGCGCCCGCCUCGCGUUCCGAACCCGGAGCGAGAGGCGCUUCAGAGACUGGAGGGACGGAUCUGCAGGAGCCAGGGCUGCCCGCCGAGCUGCAGUUGCCGCCGCUGCCGCUGCCGCUGCCGCUGCCGCGCCGCCACCGCCGUCGCCGUCGCUGUCAGUGCCCGUCUGAAGAGUGACACGCCGCAAAAGCAGGAGGGAGCAUCGAACCCCGCGCCUUUACGAAACAGGUGCAUGCGCUGAUCUCUUGCCGAGGGAACCCAGCUCGCAAGGUAACCAUUCAUGAGCCUGAGGCUGUGAGAAAUGCUCGCUGUGCAAAAGGGAACUCUCACCAGAUUUUCUGAAGCUGUCCUAGAAAUACACUUUUCAGAUUGAUUCAGCAUUACCAGCUUAUCCAACAAAAGUAUUAACAUAUACAUUAACAACGUCGAAAGUAGCCUACUUUAAGAGAAAAUAUGCAGAAGAAGAAGAUUUACAUCAAGAUUACCAUGGGUAUUUUCCAAAACACCUGAUAUUGCCUGAGGACAGGACUUGCAUUCUCAAACUUUCUCUGGAGAAGCUCAGGUUUCUUGAAGACCCAGAAACCUACUUAAGAAGGUCUGUGUUAAUUAACAAUUUGCUGCGGAAGAUCCAUCUAGAGACGGAGAAAGAGAGCUAUGAAUACUUUAAGGAAGCUCCCUGUUAUAAGACUGCUUAUUCUGAUACAAGAAAACGGCUGAAGGUUAUGGUACAGGAAUGCUGCUCUCAGUCUCUCUAUUACGAAGAGCUGCAUUCAUAUCGUAUUGUGCCUUAUGCUUCGGAGAAUGCCAUUUACGGAAUGGGCUACACUCGCAGCCAUUUGGAGCAAAAUUCUCAGUUGCUUAUUUAUAAAAUGAAUUAAAGUAACUGUUAAGUCCAUUGAUACUUUGUUUCUAAAUGCCUGAACUGUUCAUAGUGAAGAUGUUAAAAUAAGGCACUAAUUCCCAGUGUGCUUGAGAUCAAAGAUGAGAUGCAUGCGGAACUGACUGGAGAGAGCCCUGGUUGUUACUCAGCAGUCCUUGUAUCAGCAAGUCAAACUGAAAAUAUGUCCACACAGUAUAAGGCAGCGAAUAAGUACUUUAGAAGCAAAACCUUUUUUUUUUUUUUAAGAUAAGCUAUGUAGGAAGGGACCAAUAGCAAGUUCUUAUACAGAUUUAAACAUUUCAAGCCCCUUAUUCUCAGAUUCUGCCACUCUUAGUAGAAAGUAACAGAUUAAGCUCAAAAUGUCAUGUCCCUGAAGGUUGAGGGUGGAACGAAUUUAAUUUUCUGUAAAUGACGAGAAGGGAAGGUUCUUGCUGAAAUGCUUUGGCUUGUCAAGCACUGUGCCAAAUAAUUGUUUGAUGCCGUUCUCCUUUUACUGUUAGCAACAGUUCAAGAUGGGGCAAAGCUAUUGCAGCGGAGCUGCUGAAUGUAACAACCAGAUAACUCCAAACUGAUCCAUUUUACUUUUUUUUUUUUUUUUUUUGGCUUGAUAGACUUUUCUCUUUACAAGUGAAAUUUAAUAGAAUAGCCUCAUGGCUGGGCUUAUCUCUUAAGUUCUAGGGGUCGGUUACAAUUUGUGGUGGGCCGUUAGUUAAGAGUUUGAACUUUAUUUAUGAUGUCAUUGUUAUAGGCUGUGAAGCUCAGGAAAAGGGUAGGCAGGCAAAAUUUGUUUUUAAUAGGUUGAUAGUUAAAAAAAAUCUUAUCUGCAGAAAUUGAUGAGAACAACAGAAAUUCUACGUGAUGUUAUUUCUUCAUCAAAGAGUGCAUUUAAGGCUGCCUGGAUGAAACUUUGCACUGAUUUUUGUAUAAUAGUCGACCAUUCACUAUUUGACAAAAUGUUUCAGAAUGCCUUUGGUGGUGAAGCUUAGAUAAGUCCAUAUAUUUUGCAAUUUGAAAGAUGAUGAUUUAACAAGUUGGAUAGAUUCCUGGAAUUGUUUGAAGUGCUUUGUGAUGUCCUUUGAGGUUUGAAUGAGAUGUCUGAUUUCGAUGUGCAGAGUGAUGUCCGAUGGAGCGUAUCAUUUAAAGAGUUGUCAUUAACUGAUGAAACAGAUUGGGAAAACUAGGUGCCAAAGAAAAUACCAAAGACCCAAAGAUAAGUGUUAGAGAGACCAUGGUAAUGAAGAGAAGAAUCUAAAAUAAGGAUUGCGCAGGACACAGAAGAACAUUGUUAAAGGGUUUUGGAACCAUUUGCUUACUAAUGUGCUUUCAGAGCGCUUUGUGCAUAGUAGUGAUAAUCACGGACACUGCUUUAAAUGAAGAUGUCAUAGGCCUUCAGUGAUCAUAUGUUUUCACAAAUUUGAAUGUGGUGACUUGUCAAUGUUGUAUCUUCCCUAGUCGAACACCAUCUUGUAACCAAGAAACCUUUUUCUCUUCAAGCGAGUUCUGUUUUUUGUUUUGAUUCACUACUUGCUCUCUCUGAUGAAGCAUUGGGGUGAUUACAUGGAUGCUUCUGGUAUAAAGGAUAUUGGUGCCCGAAUUAGCAGGUGUUGUUGGAGGCCGCAUAGAUAUAUAACUGAUCAAAGUAGCAGGUUUAUAUUGAAUCGCUCAAUUAGAAUUAGGAAAAAACGCUUUACGGCCAACUGAAAAAUUAUAAUUGAGGCUAGUUUUUAAAAGCAAUUUAGUAUGAAUUGUGGGAUAUAUUUUAAAUACAAAUAUGAAUACCGAAAAAUUAAUUUAAGGGCAAAAUUUGGCACCAAAGUUCAAAACUUUGUUUCACUAUUUAUAAAAUACCUUAUUUCUCAGAACGCUUUUUUAAAAAUAUAGAUUUCUUAAACAAUGGGGUUGCUAAUUGAAUAAGCUCCAGAUCUGAUAAGAUAAUUAUACUAUCAUAUAAUUUAAAAAACAGAAUGAUCUCUCUAAUAGUUUUACAUUUUUUUCUGAAAGGAACAUCUGGUUUGGUUUAGGAUAGUGUCUAUAAGAAAAGCACACCAGUGCCAGUUGUCAUGACUUACAAAAAUGCCACAUAUUGAAAUUAUUUGAGGAUAGAAAUGCACAUACUUUGGAAUAGAAAAAAGAGGGAGAGAAAAAAAUUACCAGGAAAGUGUAAAAUUGUAAUAUUUCUUGUACGUCAGAAAUCUUAAAGCAAGAACUCUUGGGCAAUGAACCAGUGACAGAUGUAAAGUCUGUUUUAUUUGGUGACGUGGUUAAUUGAGCUCUCUGAUCUAUACAUUCAUAUGUAGAGAAGCAACUGUCUUAGAAACCAGCGGUACUUUUGAAUAUGCUUUUUUAAAAAAAAUAUGUGUUGAUUUCAAAACAAAUUAUUUAAAAAAUAUCUUUUAGAGCAUUUAAUUUCUUUACCAAUAAACAAUUCAUAGAUAAGUAGUUGACUAAUGUUAUUUUGACUUUUUAAAAAAUAAUAAUGUCUAUUUAAGCUACGUAAAUGUUUCUGAGUUAAGCGAUAAGAUUGCUGUCAUUUUACCAUGGCAAAUUCAUAUACUGGGACACCCUGUAUAGACCUGCUCUGCUGACACCAUCCCACAUGCUCUAUUAUGGGACAGGCAAAGGGAGGAGACCAGUUAUAAGUGUUUUGAAACUGGGCAUCUUUUGUCUGGUGAAAGAAGCAUCCUUGGAGUAAGAAGGAUAGGAUGGGAAAUCUGAGUGCUUUUGGGAAUGUUGAUCACUCUUGCGGGUGCUCAAACAGCCUAAGGCCUGGUAACGAAGAAGAAAAUAAAAUAGAAGAGGAAUAAUAAAGAGAUGAGGAAGGAAAAAAAGCAGGCAGAGCAGUAAGGAACAGGACUAGUAAGAGAAAGAGAAAGCUGUUUCACUUGGGGGGUUGAUUGCUUGGGAUACUCAAUUUUGAUUUUCUUUGUCUGCUGUGCACCCAACACCCUGAUAUCCACAAUGUGUUGAUGUUUUCUUUCAUUCACCAAUGAUGCAUAUGACUAGAUUUCAUUCAGCAUAUGUAUUAUUUGAGAUGUGGUAUGACUGUGAAAUAUCCCUGAAAUUAAGCUCUCUUGAUAAAUGAGAAAGGAAAAGUAGAAAUUAAGUUGGAGGAAAGACUAAAUGGUGAGCCUGUGUUUACAUGGAUAAGCUCAAAUAUGUGAUCAGAUUUCAGCGCCCAUUCCGAGAUUUAAUAAACACAAUGCUAGGGCACUUGGAAGUAAGUGUGAUUCUCCACCGUUUAUUGAGCAACUACUAUGAGCCAAGCACCGUGCUGCCGUAGGAGGCACAGAGGUGAAUGAUGCCCAGUCCCCCUUUGCUCAAGCAGUUCACUGAUGAGGGAGGAACCCAGAGAUAUUUGGUUUUGUUUUAAAAGGUAACAGCUCUUUAUUGGGGGCAGAGCCAGCAUUUCUCUUUUCCAAACUAUGGGCUGGUUAUCAAACGUGUGUCUCCAAAGGCGUUUGCAACUAAAAAGAUGCACAGGGAGAAAGGAAGGUCUGUGGACCCAGAUCUUAGAGUGGAAGGAGUGUGCAUUCUGCUUUGCAGCCUAUUUAUACUUGGAAGCUUAAUAGAAAGCCACUGUUGCAGAGGGGAAGUGUGGCUGGCCUUAGCUCAUCCCUGGGGCACAAGAGGUUGUAGGGGAGGUAGGGAGACAAGCGCAAGUACAGAACACUUCCUUCUCUCCGAACUCUCUAGCUUUCAGGUCCUUUUACAGGGGAAAUCAGGUUAACAUUAAUGUCAAGGAGAAGCUUGAAGGAGAAACAGAAUCGGGAAAUCGCAGCCUGAGAUUUGUAUAUAGUGUGUUCAAGGUUAGAAGGGCAGCUUUCUGUAAUUUGCCUUGUGCUGGUGAAUUGCUUAAAUAAACCUUGGGAUUUCUUAACACCAGCUACUGGAGCCGUCCUCCUUCUGUCCCACUGGCUUCCUCUCUGAACCACAUCCCAAUCCCCAGUCUUUGCAGUCCACUGUAAGAGGAGGUUAUGGUUCUCAUUCUUUAUUCUCUCUGCUUUCCCCCACCAUUGAUACUUAUUUGCUCAAAAAUGCUGGGAAGAAAGCAACAAAUUGCAGUACUGGUGGAACUCCUCUGGGAAAGAGUUUCCAGAUUGUAUCAAACUAGAAUGCAUCACAGUUUCUUGAUAUGAUUCUUUUUAAAACUACUGUACUUAGACAUCAAAUAAUUGUCUACUAAGGUAAUCUUCAUACUUCUAGAUUUCAAUGUAAUAGUUAUCCGUUGUGUAUGUUUUGCUGAAGAAAAUACCUUAGGUUGGAAACAAUGGAAGAUUGUGUGUAAUUAAUUCAAGUAGUUCAUGAAUAUUUAUGUAAUAUAUGACAUUUUAACUUACAUUUUCCCAUUCUCAAACUUCCUUACUAUACAUCAGAAAUGUGACAUAUUUCAGGUUUUUUGUUUCUUUAUGAAGUGGACCAUGUCUAAAAGUUGUUACAUUUAAGGUUGGAACAUUUUGGACACAAUUUUUGCAUUAAAAUCAUUCUGUCUGUCCCCAAGGAUUACUCUCUAGUUGGGUGGAUAAAGAACCUCCCUCUACAUUAGCACUUCUCAAAUCUUCUAGUGCAUAUAAAUCCCUGGAGAUCUUGUUAAAAUACAGAUUCCUUUCAGUAGGUCUGUGCUGGAGCCCUCGGUCUGCAUUUCUCAAGUCUCCUAGGUGAUGUGGGCGCUGCUGGUCCGCUGACCACACUUUGAGUAGUGAGGCUCUAUAUCCCUUUGACAAUGAAAAUAUAGACUCAAGCCUAUAGUCGUACUACUUUCAAAGAAUGAGUGUUCAUGUCUGUUUUCCAUAGGAAUUUUGCUCUUUAAAGAAACAAAAGGCAAAAAGUAAAUAUCAUAAACUAGUUUUCCAAAUUGGCCACAAAUAUUACAGUAUUUUGUAUAAUAAAAUACAUAGAAAAUGAUUUCUCUUAUAAAUUUUACCUACAUCAAGUGAACAAAAGGAACAUGGAUGUAGUCAUGUACCAUUCUUAUCAGUCAGAAAGUGACAAAUGGUAAACUUCUCUUUUUGAUUUUUUCCCCUUGAUUAUACCCAGAUGGGGGAGCUGUGCUUGGUAUCAUUAGAGCAAAGACAAAAUUUUGUUCCCACUUAACAAGAAUUUGGCAAUUUCUUGUUUGGCUGAGGUUGAGAAAAUCUUAUAAAAACAUUCCAUGUUAAAUUCAGACUUAUGGAUGGCUGCAUGGACUGAAGAAUUUGGUAAACCUGAGCUGAAAAAUGGCACUUGGAUCUUCAACUUCUUGUUUUGAACUCUUUCUUGAGCUCCAUUCCAUGAGAGAUCCUCCCCUGGAUGUGGACUUCCUGUUUCUCUUUAGUUGUCAGCGUCUGAGUAAGGGGUGGAGGACCGCUGUAAGUGAGAGAGUCACGUGCAUUGUUUAACUUGAGCAUGCCAAGUGAUUUUUGUCAGGCUCUUCUGUGGUCAUAAAUUGUUGGUGUAGCUAUUGUGAAAUAUAGUGUCAUAAAUUUGUUAUAACUCAUUAAUGAAGGGAGAACAGCAGAAAUUUAAUUCUGUGGGAAUGCACCCAAAUACCAAGCAGAUGGUGUUCUACAACAUUUAUUUGGGAAAAUGUGUAUCUGUUACAUAAUCUAAAAUAUGUCUUUUUCACAUUUAAAAAUAUUUGGGUCAUGAUUUAGAGUUUUUAUUGGAUUGUUUUUUAAACUGAGAGGAAGAAAAAAGGUAACUGUAUUUUAAAACAUAUUUGACAUGUUAUUAAUAAAAUUUUAUUUCUGGUGAAAUAUAGGUGCCUUUAUUAAGUAGGGGAGGGGGUGUCAUGAAUGCUUGACAGUCACCUUAUGUCCUUCAAUUCCAGAGGUCUCAUUUUAAAGGCAUGUGGUUAUAUUUCUUUCAGCAAUUUGUUUUCAACACAAAGUUUGCUUAAGAAUUUGGAGGACAUUCCCAAUCUCCUGGCAAAUUUUCUUCACUAAGAUUGACCUGAAAUGGUUUUUAGGCAGCAUGAGUCAUGAGAACACAUGACAGAACUGACUGUGUUUAGGCGUUACUCAAACAUCCUAAGGACAAAUGUCAGAGUGAAAGAUAAUUUCUCCACCUAUAGAAGAGCAGCAGAUGUACCCAUCGGUUCUCCACGGAUGUGCUGGGUGAGGAGCAGGUGGAACACAUCAGGAAGGCAGAUUCCUUCUCUUUUUAGUAGAACUGAUGUUUAUGAUCAAUUUUGCAAACCAGUGAUUGUGGGGUCCCCUAAAAUCCAUUGACUGAUGUGGGACAUCAAUGCCCAAAUGUAAGGUCUUUCCAAGCAAACAACAUUUUUCUGUGUACAUCCAUUAAGACAGAGGUUCGAUUAAGUGCACAGUUAUUUGAGUAACCCAGGAACAACUAACCCAUACAAAUUACAGAGACUUUCAAGUAUGUGUUAGUAGAAACUUAAACACAAAUAGAUGAACACAUCUAAGAUGGUAAUAUAAAGAGUCAAUUGGUCUCUUCUAGAAGUCAAAAAACAACUUUAUAUAUUAUGUAAGUGUCUCGUAUAGUGCCCCAUAUGUAUUUGGUCAUAAUAAAUUGUGUUGUUCAAGUGACUCAUUUUUUCUUUUAUAAAUAAAUGAAUUUUUUCCA